GGUAAGAUGGCUGAGUUUAGGCGGUGGAUUGUAAAUCCAUAAACAGAGGAUAAAACCUCUUCAUACCA
rnacentral:tRNA from 1 species